AUUGAACGCUGGCGGCAGGCCUAACACAUGCAAGUCGAACGAGUGGCGGACGGGUGAGUAAUGUCUGGGAAACUGCCCGAUGGAGGGGGAUAACUACUGGAAACGGUAGCUAAUACCGCAUACCAUCGGAUGUGCCCAGAUGGGGUUAGCUAGUAGGUGGGGUAACGGCUCACCUAGGCUAAGAUCCCUAGCUGGUCUGCGAGGAGGACCAGCCACACUGGACCUUGGACCCGGUCCAGACUCCUACGGGAGGCAGCAGUGGGGAAUAUUGCACAAUUGGGGCAAUCCUGAUGCAGCCAUGCCGCGUGUAUGAAGAAGUCCUUCGGUUUGUAAAGUACUUUCAUCGAGGAGGCGUUACUCGCAGAAGAAACACCGGCUAACUCCGUGCCAGCAGCCGCGGUAAUAC
rnacentral:rRNA from 1 species